rnacentral:rRNA from 1 species
UACGUAGGUGACCAGCGUUGUCCGGAUUUACUGGGCGUAAAGAGCGCGCAGGCGGUCGUUCAAGUCGAGUGUGAAAGCCCCCGGCUCAACUGGGGAGGGUCAUUCGAUACUGAUCGACUCGAAGGCAGGAGAGGGAAGCGGAAUUCCCGGUGUAGUGGCGAAAUGCGUAGAUAUCGGGAGGAACACCAGUGGCGAAGGCGGCUUCCUGGCCUGUUCUUGACGCUGAGGCGCGAAAGCUAGGGGAGCAAACGGG